rnacentral:rRNA from 1 species
UGAGUAAUGUCUGGGAAACUGCCUGAUGGAGGGGGAUAACUACUGGAAACGGUAGCUAAUACCGCAUAACGUCUUCGGACCAAAGUGGGGGACCUUCGGGCCUCAUGCCAUCAGAUGUGCCCAGAUGGGAUUAGCUAGUAGGUGGGGUAAUGGCUCACCUAGGCGACGAUCCCUAGCUGGUCUGAGAGGAUGACCAGCCACACUGGAACUGAGACACGGUCCAGACUCCUACGGGAGGCAGCAGUGGGGAAUAUUGCACAAUGGGCGCAAGCCUGAUGCAGCCAUGCCGCGUGUAUGAAAAAGCCUUCGGGUUGUAAAGACUUUCUGCGAGGAGGAAGGCAUUAAGGUGAUAACCCUAUUGUUGUAGUUCUCCCCGAAAAAAAACCCAAGCACCGGCUAACUCCGUGCCAGCAGCCGCGGUAAUGCGGAGGGUGCAAGCGUUAAUCGGAAUUACUGGGCGUAAAGCGCACGCAGGCGGUCUGUCAAGUCGGAUGUGAAAUCCCCGGG